ACACACAAAAAUUAUCAAAACCUCUCACACACACACAGUUGAAGGGAUUUUGUAUCCGCAAAAUCAACAUUUUUGCAUCGAAAAUUAAUAAUAAUGUUCAUUGUAGCAUAUAAUCAGUCAGUGUGUAAUUAGCCUAUACUACUCGCCAGAUGCAUAGAAGGUUUGGCAUUACCAGGGUUCAUAUGGAGGACAGGAGGAGGAUGCCGAGAAGUGACUGACUCCAUACAGGAACCGGGUGAAAUUCUUAGAUAAUUGGAUACUCGAAGCUGGGUAUACGUAUAAAUACAUUUACCCACUUCAUUGUGAUGUGAACGUUUCUGUUAGUCCUAUUGGACCAUUAAGAUUCGGCAUCAAGGAAAACGAGUUCUGUCACAAGUCAUGAGUUGACAACUAUGACCACUACCACCACCAUCAUCGUUAAGUAGACCAUCGUGAUAACAUUUUGGGGGUUGAAUUUGAAGAGAUGUGUUUAUGUUGGAAGGUUAUUGUUGUCAACAGGGAAGGACCAUAUAGAUACAAUGAUAUUCAUGUUCCUGUUGGAAUUGAUCACGAAACCAUUAGCACAUGAAUGUUGAACCAGGUAAGUUAGUAUGAAUAAAUGAUUUCUUUUGUUCGUCUUUACUCGUUACAAUUCUAUUUUUUUAGAACUUCAGCAGGAAAUCUUAUCGCCUUCGUAUCAGUGAUGUUAGAUCGUCGAGCAGCUGAACUUCAGAAUUUAAAAUCACAACUUGCUUUUAGCUGAAUCUGAGGGUUUAAUACAGUGCCGCAAAACGAUACUAGCUUAGACACGUAUGUUGGACAAACGUACUUCUUUUUGAUAUCCUUGCAAUUUAGUGAUUACUACUUUGUUGCUAGUGCAAGAUUCGUAAUUGAGUUGACAUGGCAAAGAGUUACGGGCGUUGGUAUCUUGCAUUGUUCGACUUUUAAAGGAAGGCAUCUGGUCCCCUUCCUCAAUCACCUCACGACCAGUUUGACAAUAUUUUCUCGAUGAACCAAGCAAGUGUUUUCUAUGGAAGUUGGCAUUAACUUAUAAUGUGGAGCUUUUUUUUUUUCCUAGUUAUCAAAUCUACUUUGCUCAAGUCGGUUGGAAUGAAGCCAUGUCGAGAUAAAGAAUUUGAGUUCACUUUCAGCAACGAAUAGAGCUAUCGAUUUUGAGAUUGCGAGGCAGGCAUCACUCUACAAUGAAGGACGCCGAGAAGAUUGUGCAAUAAGCUCGUCUUUGGGAAGAAGGCUCUCAGAUUUAACGCGACACUUACGCUUAAGUUAAUGGUGACAUAUUUUACCCAAUUUCUUAUGAAUGGGUUAUUAUUCGAAUUACGUUUUAUCUCUAACGGGUAAAAAACAUAGCUUUGAAGGAAUCGGUCAAAACUGCUGAUAAUUGUGUUUUUUAGGUAUAUAGUUUAAUCAUAUCUGACACUAUUGUAAUAGUAUAAUUUGUAAAUAAAACCAGGCUUUAGAUAAAA